AGUAGCAUGGCUCAACCGAUAGAGCACCUGCUUGGUAAGCAGAAUUCUAAGUUCAAAUCCCAGUACUGUCA
rnacentral:tRNA from 1 species